rnacentral:rRNA from 1 species
GGGUCCUACGGGAGGCAGCAGUGGGGAAUAUUGCACAAUGGGGGGAACCCUGAUGCAGCGACGCCGCGUGGGUGAAGGAGUACUUCGGUACGUAAAGCCCUAUCAGCAGGAAAGAAAAUGACGGUACCUGACUAAGAAGCCACGGCUAACUACGUGCCAGCAGCCGCGGUAAUACGUAGGUGGCAAGCGUUAUCCGGAUUUACUGGGUGUAAAGGGGGCGCAGACGGCGAUGCAAGCCAGGAGUGAAAGCCCGGGGCCCAACCCCGGGACUGCUCUUGGAACUGCGUGGCUGGAGUGCAGGAGGG